AAACGUGAAAGCAAUGUUACAAUUCGUUCGUUGAAGUUUAGUGAAGAAGCCAUUAUCGAUGAAGUUAAAAGCGAUAUGCAGACAGAUAUAAUCAACAACAACUCGAUUUUCACGUUUGCCAGAGUCAGGAAUACUUUUAAAAAAGUUUUGACACCGCCAUACAUGAAGAAUAAUGUUUACGAAGCGCAAAGCCACAUGAUGUGACAAGCUGAUGAAAAAGCUUGAGUAUCUGUUCAAGGAUUAUCGACGAUGAUCAUCGUGUGGUACAAGGCCUGCUCCUUUUCCCUCCCUUUAGCUAGGUGCGCUGAGAGAAGGUCCCUGACAAAGGACGGGUUGCGUGUUCUUCGGAGCUCGCUUUAACGUAACGUGGUCAUGUCGGACUAGAGCGCCCCAUUAGGCUCCCGCAAUGAAAUUUUCUGAUAAAGAUACAUUCUUAGAUAAUUAAGUCAAGCAGUUAAGUUAAGAAAAGUUCCUUUGUUUGUCUGAGGGAGCAAAAUAAAAGGGUCUAUGUUAUUGUGUGUAGUUGGUGUCAUUGUAAGGUUUAAGCUGGUGAGUUUACUAAUGUUUGGAUAAGGUUUGACGAGGAACCACCUUAGCCUUGAAGGUCAAUACGGGGACAUGUAUCUUUGCCAAGACGUCAACAAAUCCAUUAAGCCCACUUCCAUCUCAGCAACAAUGGAAGAAACUUGCGUUGCUGAGCUCUGCUGGCUGGGUGGCGUCACCGCACAUUGACCCAGCUACCCAAUGACUUCCU